rnacentral:lncRNA from 1 species
AGGGUGAUUAUGCAAAAUACAACAAGCUACCCUGAGAACAUCAUGGUUCCUUCUUCCUUGUGCGUGGCCUCUCACACGUCAAGUCACGUUCUCCCAAACGACACUAGUCCAGGCACAAACAGCUGGCAGACUCCACAUGAAGACCUCCUAUAA